rnacentral:rRNA from 1 species
GGGUCAGUAGGUUGGUCGUGCCACCGGUACGUACUGGUCUCACUGAUUCCUCCUUCCUGAAGAACCGUAAUGCCAUUAAUUUGGUGUUGCGGGGAAACAGGACUGUUAUUUUGAAAAAAUUAGAGUGUUUAAAGCAAGCUAACGCUUGAAUACAUUAGCAUGGAAUAAUGAAAUAGGACGAUCGAUCCUAUUUUGUCGGUUUCUAGGAUUGACGUA